rnacentral:lncRNA from 1 species
AUGAAACCGAACAAGAGCUCAGAUUGUAACGACAGCACCAGGAAUUGUUGCAUGUGGUCCUCCCAGAGGAAUGGAAGACUUCUCUUUAUCCUAUGUGCUUCAAAGAAGUGGUAUGUACAUCUGCGCUCCUCUCCACUUAGCUGUGGCUGUAGGGUAAUGCUAGUUAAUGUGUCUUCCAGAUCAAGGAGGCGGGGGGGGUGUCUCCACCGGAGACUCUGUUGUUCUGCUGCUUUUCUGCACUGUUCCAUUGGAUCUGUUUCCCUGUCGUUGACCCGGUGCUGGACCAUCAUCCGGCUCCAAGGCCUCUCCACCCUGCUGCUCGGGCUGGUUAAACGGGAUCAGCGGAGACCAUCGGGAGCGGCUCUUCUCACUCGCUCCUCUAGACUGAGUACCAGCGGAGGACCUACACCCGGCUGUGAGCUGACAGUGGUGGCCGAGCCCUGGUGGUAG